rnacentral:rRNA from 1 species
UACGUAGGGUGCGAGCGUUGUCCGGAAUUAUUGGGCGUAAAGGGCUCGUAGGCGGUUUGUCGCGUCGGGAGUGAAAACCAGGUGCUUAACACCUGGCUUGCUUUCGAUACGGGCAGACUAGAGGUAUGCAGGGGAGAACGGAAUUCCUGGUGUAGCGGUGAAAUGCGCAGAUAUCAGGAGGAACACCGGUGGCGAAGGCGGCUUGCUGGGCCUUACCUGACGCUGAGGAGCGAAAGCGCGGGGGAGCGAACAGG